GACGAACCGUGCGAACGUUGUUCGGAAUCACUGGGCUUAAAGGGCGCGUAGGCGGGUUUUCAAGUCUGUGGUGAAAUCCUCCAGCUUAACUGGAGAAGUGCCGUGGAUACUGGAGACCUCGAGGAGGGUAGGGGCAUCUGGAACAGCCGGUGGAGCGGUGAAAUGCGUUGAUAUCGGCUGGAACUCCGACGGCGAAGGCAAGGUGCUGGACCCUCUCUGACGCUGAGGCGCGAAAGCCAGGGGAGCGAACGGG
rnacentral:rRNA from 1 species